rnacentral:tRNA from 1 species
GCCCAGUUGAACCUCGGUGGUCCGGGGUGAAGGCUUCAAACCUUUAGCCGGCUAGCGUCGGAGUGGUUCGAUUCCACCUGCUGGGC